UACAGAGGGUGCGAGCGUUAAUCGGAAUUACUGGGCGUAAAGCGCACGUAGUCGGCUUUGCAAGCCGGGUGUGAAAUCCCCGGGCUCAACCUGGGAACUGCAUCCGAGACUGCAUUGCUAGAGUAUGGGAGAGGGAAGCGGAAUUUCUGGUGUAGCAGUGAAAUGCGUAGAUAUCAGAAGGAACAUCAGUGGCGAAGGCGGCUUCCUGGACCAAUACUGACGAUCAGGUGCGAAAGCGUGGGGAGCAAACAGG
rnacentral:rRNA from 1 species